UGGUGGAAGGAGAGAAGUGACUUCUGCAAGUUGUCUUCUGACCUCCACACAUGUGCCUGUUCACAUACUCACACACACAUCCACAAGUACACAAAUGUAAUGAAAAUAUAGAAGAAAGACUGUUGAAUUAUAGAUGUGAUGCUUGUCUUUUUAUCAAAGCCUUAACUCAUAUACUUGUCAAAAUAAUAUGGCGCUACCAACUUGAGUGCCGGAAACAAUAUGAAGCUGCCUUCAUAUCGUAGUUACUGAGGCUCUCCAGUAUGGAGGCUUCUCUCUCUUCUGUUAUUCAGCCAGGUAGGCUCUCCUGUGGGCCCAGAGGUGUCUGAGCAUCUCAUUUUCACGCUUCUGUUGUUUGCUCUUCUGUACUUCUUACUGCAAGGGUGGUUUGUUUGGUUUUGUUUCUUCUCUACCUAAGAUCUAUAUACUCAAAGAGCACAAUGAAUUUUUUAACUAAUGGGUGUGCUUGUAGAUCCUUGUGAAGGGCAGAAGGUAUCUGUUAAUGGGAUGGAUCUAACUUUAACAGCUGACAUCUAAACUUCCUCAGAGGUUGAAUCCAAAUCCUGAUGUCAUAAGUUGUAUAAAAGCCCUCCAGACUCCACAUCCCUGAGGCUUGACUGGGCCUUUCCACCUCCGUGGCUCCUGAGAUCAAAGCUGCUCCUCCUCCUUACUGGCCAGUCCUCACCAGUUCGAGUAAGGUGUUCCAGAGAAGAGACAAACCAGUCUGCUGGGACACGGUCUGCUGGGACACGGUCUGGUCUGCUGGGACACGGUCUGGUCUGCUGGGACACGGUCUGGUCUGCUGGGACACGGUCUGCUGGGACACGGUCUGCUGGGACACAGUCUGCUGGGACACGGUCUGCUGGGACACGGUCUGCUGGGACACGGUCUGGUCUGCUGGGACACAGUCUGCUGGGACACGGUCUGCUGGGACAUGGUCUGCUGGGACACGGUCUGGUCUGCUGGGACACGGUCUGCUGGGACACGGUCUGCUGGGACAUGGUCUGCUGGGACACGGUCUGCUGGGACACGGUCCACUUUCUCAGGGUUUUGCCUGUUGUGCUUUACUUUCAAAUAAGUCUUCAAGCUUGCACUUUCCGUUCCUCAGCACUGGGCCCACACUAACACUGUAUUCUUUGCUGCAUUUAGUACUUUUUGAUUCGGAACACCCUCCUCCCCCAAGUGGUUUCCAGGUCUCAAAGUUAUAGUAAUUACAUCUUGGCACAUACACCUUUGCUGAUUUCUCCAUAACGAUCUGGAUUAUAGACUUUAGUGUCUUUUGUGUUGACUCUGCGUUAAGAUGGGUACCUCCAUCUAACUAUGAAUAAAACAAAUUUAUAAUUACUGUGUUAGCUUCCUGGUUUUGUUGCAGGAUAUUUUAUCUAUCUCAGGUUUAUGUUGGCUCACUGUUUUGGCGAUCUCAGUCUGUUACUGGCUGCCCUCUUCUUGGUGGCUUAUGGUGAGGCGCUCCAUCCUGGCCAUAGAGUGAAAACAGCAGAAGAAUGGUUGGUGCCAUCCUUUGAUAGCAUGUCCUUAGAGACUCUCUCUUAUCAGGCCCCACAUCCUCUCAGUUCUGCCCCGUCCCAGUAGCUCAGUGGCUCUUUAAUUGUUAGGCCUUUGGGGAACAUUUAACAACCAAACUAGAGAAAUUACUUUUCAGUUCCUGCUUUUAUUUCUCUUGUUGGUCUGUUCUUCUUCCAACUAGAUAACUUGAAUCACAUAUUUUAGGAUUUUAGGAUUCAGAGGAGAACUUCUUUGAACAUUUUGUAUGUCUGAUCAAUAUAAUAUAUCCUCACUGUCAUCCCCAGUGCUAGAUAACAGACCAACACCUUCCCUAUCCCAAGUGGCUCCUAACUACCUGUGUAACUCUACAAAUGGGGGCCUGAUGUUUGACUUCUGCCAGCAUGACAUGGCCCCUCAACAGACAUAUGGGAACACACAUAAUUAAAUAUAAUAACCAAAUCAAAUCUUAAAGC
rnacentral:lncRNA from 1 species